rnacentral:rRNA from 1 species
CGCGUUUGUUGUUUUGUGCGGUAAAGCGAAUGAUUAGUGCAUUUGGGGUACGAAGUACUUCGGGCGAUUCUCAAACUUUAAAUGCGCAAGGGGGUGGCUGCUUAAUUGAGCCUACUCUUUGAAAAACGUCGGCCCUGUGGGCCACUUUUGGUAAGCAGAACUGGCGAUAAGGGAUGAACCUUAAGCGCGGUUAAGGCGCCUCAUUACCCGCUUAUAGACCCCACAAAAGGUGUUGAUUCAUAUAGACAGCAGGACGGUGGCCAUGGAAGUCGGAAUCCGCUAAGGAGUGUGUAACAACUCACCUGCCGAAUGAAUUAGCCCUGAAAAUGGAUGGCGCUAAAGCGGGUAGCCGACACCGCGCCGUUCCGGCGAGACGAGGCCGGGAUGAGUAGGAGGGCGUGGCGGUCAGUGAAGCAGGCUAGGGUGCAGACCCAGCUGAAACGGCCGCUAGUGCAGAUCUUGGUGGUAGUAGCAAAUAUUCAAGCGAGAUCCUUGAAGGGCGAAGCGGGGAAGGGUUCCACGCAAACAUUGAUUGGGCGUGGGUGAGUCGUUCCUAAGCCGAGUGGCAAUUGCUAAGUAGCGGCGAAAGGGAAGCGGGUUAAAAUUCCCGCACACGGAUAUGGAGGCGGCGACGCAAGCAGAGGCGAAUACGCUGGCCGAGGCGCUGGGCAGAGUUGUCUUUUCUGUUUGACCGGCAUCGCGCCGUGUGGAAUCCGCUUAUCGGGAGAAACACGCGCGGGUAUGGGCAGAGCGUCAAGUUUUUUUUGGCGUCCAGCUCGCCUCGGACGGCCCCUGAAAAUUCGCCCGCGAACUUUAAAAAUUUCAUGCUGUGACGUACCGAUAUCCGCAUCAGGUCCCCAAGGUGAACAGCCUCUGCUCAAUAUGAACAAUGCAGGUAAGGGAAGUCGGCAAAAUAGAUCCGUAACUUUGGGAAAAGGGUUGGCUCUAGUGGGAUGAAGG